ACCAGCAGAAUGAUGUGGGGGUUUUUUCAGAAUUUUCUCAACAACAUCUUGACUGUUGUAAGCGUUUUAAGUUUAAGCUGAAAAAACUAUCCAGACCUGGCACAUGUGAUCUCACUACCUCAAUUAGUGAGAAGGUGUGUCAAAACAGCCUUUCACCAGUGGCUCAGUCACUAAGUCACCUACUCUGGAGAUGACCAAGGUGACCAAGUCAGACUUGCUGACAAUGGGAGUGUUCAGAUCAUAGGACUAGGCCUGACAUCCGGGAUGCUGCAGCUGCUGCCGACGCCUUCGCCAGAGUCUCACAGAAGCACGAUAUCACUGGGAAACAGGCAGCAUUAGAUUUCUUGCAUUUUAUAUGUUGAAGCAAGAGGCUGCUCAUUCUUACAGGAUUGUUGACAAUUUAUCAACGUGUGGACAGUGACAAUAUCAUCAUAUUUUGGUAUAAAUGAAAUUUAUCAUUUCUUCUAAGUUGUUUUCUGAUUAAAGUUCUUGUUUUCUUCUUCA